rnacentral:rRNA from 1 species
GACGAACGCUGGCGGCGUGCUUAACACAUGCAAGUCGAACGGAAAGGCCCUGCUUUUGUGGGGUGCUCGAGUGGCGAACGGGUGAGUAACACGUGAGUAACCUGCCCUUGACUUUGGGAUAACUUCAGGAAACUGGGGCUAAUACCGGAUAGGAGCUCCUGCUGCAUGGUGGGGGUUGGAAAGUUUCGGUGGUUGGGGAUGGACUCGCGGCUUAUCAGCUUGUUGGUGGGGUAGUGGCUUACCAAGGCUUUGACGGGUAGCCGGCCUGAGAGGGUGACCGGCCACAUUGGGACUGAGAUACGGCCCAGACUGCUACGGGAGGCAGAAGUGGGGAAUAUUGCACAAUGGGCGGAAGCCUGAUGCAGCAACGCCGCGUGCGGGAUGACGGCCUUCGGGUUGUAAACCGCUUUCGCCUGUGACGAAGCGUGAGUGACGGUAAUGGGUAAAGAAGCACCGGCUAACUACGUG